GCACUGCUGAUGAGUCCCAUAAUAGGACGAAACGGCCGUCCAGUGC
rfam:Schistosoma rodhaini strain Burundi genome assembly, scaffold: SROB_scaffold0000066